GCGGCGGGGGUGGUUCCGCUUUGUCUGCGCUCCACCUGAGCGCGGGGAAGUUGGCGUUCCGAGGCAGGGCGCACCUAGCGCGCGCGCUCUCCGGGAUCCCCGCGGUCCGCCCCGGGCGAGCCGGCGGGGGCGCCUAGGGAGCCGGGAGCAGCCCCUCCCAUGGGUCCCCGGCACCAGAGCGCAGAGUCGCGGGGCGCGGACCGCAGUUAUGUCAAGAUGCCCUCUUUCCUGUUGCUGGAAGCCCUCUGCCUUUUCCUGUUUGCUGGAGUGCCCCCAUCCCUCCCUCUGCAGGAAGUCCACGUAAGCCAGGAGACCAUUGGGAAGAUUUCAGCUGCCAGCAAAAGUAAGCCCAUGUUUUACUCCACCCUUCAUA
rnacentral:lncRNA from 1 species